UCUAAGUUCAGAGGCUGCUAGUGUUAAGUGAGUGAGAGAGUGUAAACACUUGGUUUGGGGAAAAACUAUAAGCUUAAACAUCAUAAGCUUAUCAAACACUUGGGAAGUAAGUGAGUGCUAUAGUAUUUCGGUGGAUGUUAGAUUGAUCUUGCAAUCUUUGAGGGAAUCCAAGUUCUUAAGCACUUAAGUGGUGGAGUGUUCCAAAAGUCCUAACUCAGUCCAUUUUAUCCCGGUAACUUUGGAAAAUAAGCUUAGAGGCGGUAAGAUUCGUGAUGCUUGGGAGGAUGUGUAUCGAUGAUGAAUGGAGUCAAGGGGCCGAGCGUUAUCGAUUCGAGGAUGUAGUCUCCUUUUAUGUUUUUUAUGGUUUUACAUGUAUUUUCCGCAUUAUUAUGUAAUGUCUUUUAUUUUAAAUCUUAUUUUGUU